rnacentral:misc_RNA from 1 species
GAUGAAGAACGUAGUGAAAUGCGAUAAGUAAUGUGAAUUGCAGAAUUCAGUGAAUCAUCGAAUCUUUGAACGCACAUUGCGCCCGCCAGUAUUCUGGCGGGCAUGCCUGUUCGAGCGUCAUUACAACCCUCAGGCCCCCGGGCCUGGCGUUGGGGAUCGGCGGAAGCCCCCUGCGGGCACAACGCCGUCCCCCAAAUACAGUGGCGGUCCCGCCGCAGCUUCCAUUGCGUAGUAGCUAACACCUCGCAACUGGAGAGCGGCGCGGCCACGCCGUAAAACACCCAACUUCUGAAUGUUGACCUCGAAUCAGGUAGGAAUACCCGCAGAACUUAAGCAUAUCAAUAAGCGGAGGA